rnacentral:rRNA from 1 species
CCUACGGGAGGCUCCAGUGGGGAAUAUUGGACAAUGGGCGAAAGCCUGAUCCAGCCAUGCCGCGUGUGUGAAGAAGGCCUUCGGGUUGUAAAGCACUUUCAGUGGGGAAGAAAGCCUUGGGGCUAAUACCCUCGAGGAAGGACAUCACCCACAGAAGAAGCACCGGCUAACUCCGUGCCAGCAGCCGCGGUAAUACGGAGGGUGCGAGCGUUAAUCGGAAUUACUGGGCGUAAAGCGCGCGUAGGCGGUCUGAUAAGCCGGUUGUGAAAGCCCCGGGCUCAACCUGGGAACGGCAUCCGGAACUGUCAGGCUAGAGUGCAGGAGAGGAAGGUAGAAUUCCCGGUGUAGCGGUGAAAUGCGUAGAGAUCGGGAGGAAUACCAGCGGCGAAGGCGGCCUUCUGGACUGACACUGACGCUGAGGUGCGAAAGCGUGGGUAGCAAACAGGAUUAGAUACCCGGGUAGUC